AAAUAUUAGCUGGGCCCGGUGGCACAUGCCUGUAACCCCAGCUAAUUGGGAGGCUGAGGUGGGAGAAUUGCUUGAGCCCAGGAGUUCCAGGCUAUAAAGUUCUAGGCCCUCAGCCCUGGUCUAUCAAGUCCAAGUCUCGCAGGACACUGCUGUGGGCAUGAGUCUUUCGAGAGUGUGGCCCAGUCAGGCCUGGAGUAUGCUACUGCUUGGGAAGCACUGUGGGCAGCGGCUGCAGGUGACAAGAUCACAGUCAAGUGUAUUUGGGGCUCAUCCGCCUGUGCUGCUCUCUUGGUCAGUGGGCAGCUUACUGGUGUGCUGAGUCAAAUGCAUUUUCAGAAGGUGACCUUGUGCCUUAGGCUUAUGUCAUCUGUGCCUUUGCUGACGUCAUCCUCGACUCCAGCAGCCAGACCAGGGGAUAACAAAUGCAAAUGUCUAACAGUAAUUAACUCUUAGCAGCAACCUCAGCCUGGGGCUCCCCUUUCCAGGGCUUGUGGCAGCUCCACCGGGCCCUGCUGCAGCCCCUUGUCAUUGAGAGGCCUCUCCCACAUCCAGAGAUACGAGGGGAAUGUAGGGAAAUGUGCAUUUAGACGAAGGAAAUGCAUUGUCCCAAAUGGCAAGUGGAGUGGCAUAAACUUUGGUGAAGCUGCUGACACCCCUUUAUCACAAGAAGAUCGUUUGGAUUAGGGGUGUGCUUUCCACAGAAAUCAGGCUCUGGCCUUACUGCAGGGGGGUGACCUGUAAACCUCAGAGUUAACACAGUGGUUUAGGUUUCACCGAGUGCACUACGGUGAUUAAGUCUCCACUGAGGACUGGAAUGAGGAAGAAAAGGAGAAGCAGAAGAAGAACAGGAAAGACCUGUUCCCUGGGCAGAAGAGGGAUGAUCUGGGGAGAGCCCCAGCGAACAGCCCCAGAGUGCCGGGCCUAGCUGGGGUUUUCCAGGGAUAGAGGCCGUGAGCAGCAGUGCGGAUGUUGGCCGCGUCUAGCCGUCUGCUUAAUAACUACCUCAGAGACCUGUUUGCCCCGCUCGGUAAAACUGGGGCCACGCUGCUUGGGCAGCCUCCAGGCGCCUGGCUGCCACUUUUUCUAGGAACUUAUACAAGUCCUCAUCAAGAGGGAGGGCAAAAAAUUGUCGGUGAAGAUGGCUGUGCUGGCAUUUUGUAAGUGACAGUGGUCAAGCUCUAAGUUGUGGAUGGACACGGCAGGGGGCAAAAUCACCUCCUCUAAAAAACGGCCUAGCGAUCCUAAUGGAUUGGCCGUAGAGACCCAUCAUUGCAGGGAGACCUGGGAAGGCCACCUGCUUCCCUGUGCCUCUGUGUCCUCAGCCACCUGAGAAAGUGUACUUCAAGAGGGAACCCAGGGAAGAAGGCUGUACAGGGUCCAUGUUAUUGCACCAUCUCCUGUCAAUUUAGGAGACAUUUUCUUAAUACUUCUUAUUGAUCAACGAAUAUUUUUGAGCCCCUCCUGUAAGUCAGACCCUGCUCCGGGGCACAGGGUGAUGACCAAGACGGACUAAGUCUCCCCAGGGGCUAAGAAUUUAGGCCCUUGCAGAGUAUCUCCUCCAAGUUAUUGAGCUGCCACUGAGAUAUCUGUGGCCACUUUGCAUCCUGUCUGCAUCCAGCAGGGUGGCAGUCCAGGCCUUUACAGAAGCAGACUGGGCAUGAAGACAUUUCUUGUGAAAAACCAGCUUCCAGGCCUCCUUCCUGGGAGGGACUCUGUGAGUGCCACGCCCAGGGCCCUGCAGCAGGUCGUGAGCAGAUGCCUCUAAUGAUUCAAAG
rnacentral:lncRNA from 1 species